AAUAUGUUGAGAAUAUUCCUUUAAAAUUUUAAAACGAUCCGAGUCAUAUUCUAAGAGAUAUAGCCUUUGGAUGUUUCACCCAUCAGGCUAUAACCGAGCAUGACGCAGGUAUAUGGAGGCAGGUAUAUCGAGGCAGCUGCUUAGCUAUUGUUCGUUUAUUUUUGUGAUGCGAAUACUAGGCUUGGGACUUGCCGGAUGUAAAAAAUUCUGUGGUUUGAUGGAUAUAAGUUCCACAUUCUUGAAUGCAUCAACGUACAAUUUUUUUGUUGAUAAAAUACAUGAGUGCGUCAUAACUGUUGCCGAAUCAAUUUUGUUGUCUGCUGCAAAUCAAGAAAAAAAAUUAACGUCUGAUGAAAAUAAUGUUGAAGAUACGACAGAUGUUACCGUGUCAGGUGAUGGCACGUGGAAAAAACGUGGGUUUGCGUCAUUAUACGGUAUGAAUCUGUCAUGAGUUAUCCUGACUACGCCGAGAGAACUUUUUUUUGAGGGGUCAUAGCAGACGACGUGUCCACGCCUUAAUUUUCAAUAUUUUUCAAUGAAAAUUUCACAAACUACUUAUAAAAUAUGUAUCUUUUAUGUGUUAAAUUGAUGGAAUGAAAUAUUCUGUUGAUUAAGUAAAAAAAAAUUCAUAAAAAUGUA
rnacentral:lncRNA from 1 species